UGAUAUUUAAAAGUCUGAAUUGAAUACACUCAGCCUUUCAAAAUCCUUUAAAAUCCUACGGCAUCUCAAUUCAAUACCCCCUAAAAUUUAUCGGGAGAAAGACCGAUACGAUUUGUGUGAAUAAAACUGAAAAAAUAUCACUACACGUGAUGUGUGUUACAACAAAAACUUUAUUUCUCGAGUUUCAAAAAAAAAAAAAAAAACUUUAUUUAGCAAAAUAACUCCCACAACUAUUUUCAACUUUCGAGAGAGCACUUGACCACUAAAUUAUCGGUCGUCCUAAUUUAUUCUUG
rnacentral:lncRNA from 1 species